UCCAUAAUUACCGGAACAGGUUUUCGAUGAAAGUCGGAAUGAAAAGGGGAAUCGUGUGCAAAUCACGAGCUGUCGCGCAACUGUAAGUAACCUAUUCACUGUCGUCCCAAUGUGUCCAAUGGUCUUCGGGCCAGGAACGGCGGACGCCAGGUUACAAGUCAGGAUACCUGCCUGCUACCGGACAGACAAU
rnacentral:ncRNA from 1 species